UACGUAGGGGGCUAGCGUUGUCCGGAAUCAUUGGGCGUAAAGCGCGUGUAGGCGGCCCGGUAAGUCCGCUGUGAAAGUCGAGGGCUCAACCCUCGAAUGCCGGUGGAUACUGUCGGGCUUGAGUACGGGAGAGGCGAGUGGAAUUCCUGGUGGAGCGGUGAAAUGCGCAGAUAUCAGGAGGAACACCCGUAGCGAAGGCGGCACACUGGCCGAUACUGACACUGAGGAGCGAAAGCGUGGGGAGCGAACAGG
rnacentral:rRNA from 1 species